AGAGAAAAGCAGGUAGUGUAACCAUCUUUCUUAAUGUAUGAUAUGAUGCGACAAGAAGAGCUCACCAUUGAUUUGGUUAGAAUUUGUUCUCUGAAAUGAAAGUAAUUGUAACUCUUUCUUUUGUAUCUCUCAGACAGCAACAUACGAGAUAGCCUGUAUAAAAUUGGUUGAGUUUGAACAGAACACAGAUGUCCCGACAGAGUCUGAUUCUGCGGAGAACAGGGGAAGGGGGAAGCGCAAAAAGAGGUCUAGGAGAGUGAUUCUGUCCAGCGAGGAAGAAGAUGAUGAUGACCCUACACCUCCACUACCUCCAUCUACCCACAGGCCUACACCUCCUCUGCCUCCAGCCACCCUCUGGUCUGCCCCGACACCUCUACUGCCUCCAAUUCUGACAUACAGUGAUGUCAACCAUUUCACCACCCCAAACCCCGCAAAUGCAAAUAAGGGACAACAUCCUUGUUCACAUCCUGACAGUCCUCGAGGAACUCAAAGAAGACAAUCGAGUCACUAGAAGGAUGCUACAAACCAUGGCACAGCGUGGCAGCAGUGGUGACAUCCUUUCUUUCAUCCCAGAUGGUUUCCACCUAAAGACAGUUAGGGAGGUCGAAGUAAUGGAGGAAAAACUGUCUGACCCAAGCUUCAUGUCUGAACUGGUACGGAAUGGAAAGCGGGAAUUCAGGACUUUAAAGCUGUUUGAAGUCAUAUUUGGAGCUUUAAAGAAGAACACCUUAACCAGCGAGAUCACCAGGAAUGAUGUGAAGAUGGCAGUUUAGAAAUGGCUGAUCGGAUCAAGGGACAGGGGAGGCAAUAGACAGGUCCCUCCUUCUCCCACUAGAUCCACUUCUUGCUCAGCGGAAGAAAAUUUGUUAUGGGACCUUUUUUUUUUCCUGUUCCAUUUUUUUUCUUGAUUGUAGUGACUACUUGUCUAUGAAAAAAACUUAAAAGUAAACAAACAAAAAAUAAAUUUAAAGCAAAUUGUCUCUUGAUGAAUAGUGGGUUUCUGGUUUAACGCAGUACAAAAAAUUCUCAAAAUACGUCAAAAUGCAGUUCCGUGAGUUUAUUCCAGGUUUCUUCAGGAAAAAAUAAACUUGAUACAAACUGAAAAAGUACUUGCCACCUCUCCUGCCCUGGUUUCCUGAAAGGACUGGUAGAUUGACAGACUGCAGCACUGGAAGACUGGUAAAAAAUUAUAAGCCCACCCACUUUCCUCCUGAGCUACCUGGAGUACAUGUAUUUAUACACCAAAUGAACUAAAUAAUCUGAGUUCUAAAACAAAAAUAGGGAAAUAGCUCCUACAUUGAUGUAUAACACUUUCAUAACUGGUUAUAAUGGUUAUUAUAAUCUGUAUUACAUUGUGUGUGCGUGUGUAUUAUGCAUCUUAUUUGAUCUGUAAAAUACUAUUAUUGCUUUUCAUUUAAUAAAAAAAGCUUGAUUAAUGGCAUGGCAUUUUUAUUUUAUAUAGUGGAUAGAGGCAACUCAUGCUGCUUGACAAGCAGCACUCACAUAAAAAAUAAUACAUAAUACAAUAAUAAAACAAAAUAAAAACCCACUCCAAAAUUAAAUAGCCUGAAAUAAAAAGGCUAGCCUGGGUACAGUGUAGGACAUAAGCAAAGAUAGGCAAUGCAGCUUAUCUAGCUAUUGGUUAGAUUGGAUCUCAGUUGUCUUAUGAAUAAGAAUCUCCAUCUAUAGGCUAUUCAAUAAGGGAGAUUGUAACUCUUGUUUAGUAAAAAUGUAAUCAAAAAUUUCCAUCGUGGAGAGAGAAAACACUGAGGAACUCACGUGAAAGCUGCUAUAGGUGCUUUUCUAGCCCAGACACGGAACAGUGUAACUUUUUAAUUAGCAUCUUUUGUAUGACAAAUAUGAAAUAUAUGAGGCACUCUAUCCCCGUGGCAGUAUUUGUAUGUAUUUGUGAGUAAAGAUAAAUCAAUUAUAUCUAUGAAAAAAUCUUCAUUUCUCUGUUAGCUUAAAAAAUAUGUACUGUCACUAAAAUCAAGACACAUAUAGACAGUAAUCCUAUAGUGAAGGUGGGUUUUGCUUGAUGAGAAAAGUAAACUUUGCUUCUAUAUUUUUGGUUUACAGCAUGUGAUUUGCUUUUAUGCUUCAUGUUCCAUUAAUAAAACACCCAAAAAUGUAAUAAAGCUCAUGUCUCUACAAUAAACUAUCAUGUUGCAACGUAAAA